CCAAGAAAAAAAAAAAUACUGAGCAUCUAUUGCAUAUAGAAUGAACAGAAAAUUGCCCAAGAUGUCAUUUUUGAAGAACUGUUUUAAUUUUGUUAUCUCUGACAGUAAAAACAGUGAUGAUACCCAGUAUUCAGUGCGUGUGUGCCGUCAGGAAUGGCUCAAAGUGCUUUAUAUAGAUUAUUUCAUUUAGUCUUUUCAUGACCUAGGAAGUAAAAGAAAUUUUACCCACUUUUAGAUGACAAAAUUGAAGCUUAGAGAGGUAAAGUAACUGUUCAAGGUUCCACAGCAAGGAUGUAGCAGAGCCCAGAUUGAAACCCAGGUUUCUGAUCCCUGGCCUGUGCCCCUAAGCACCCCACAUCCAGUUCCCCUUGGACUAUUGGCUGAGAUCCCUUGCCUAGCCUCAAGGCUGGGAUAAAGGUGUUGUCACAGCUGGAUGGACAUCCAACUAUAGGCAGUUGGGUGCCUCUACAUCAUGUUGACAGUUUACGGUGGUGAUUACACUCCAUCUCUCAUGAGCAGAACAUACUAUGGGUGUUAUAGGGACAAGGAGAAUUCACUAUGGACUGAGGCUGCUGGGAAGGCCUUUUGUUGGAAAUGGGCUAGACCCUCCCACCCCAGGAGAGAAUUUGGAAAUGUUUGGAGGCAUUUUUGCUUGACCCAGGGACUGACAUUUAGAGUGUGUGUCUGUGGGGAGAGGGAGCAGAAAUGUUGAGGACCUUGGCAUGCAUAGAUGAACUGUCCCACCCCAAAUGCCAAGAGCACCAUUGAGACCCUGGGCCCUUGGGUGAGUCUCUGAACUUUAGAUACUGUGUGGGGGCAUUUCUCUUCUUCAAAGAGGCCAGAAAAUCUUGAUGGUUGUUGGCUGUGCAAACAGAGCCCUGAUUUAGGACUUGGACUGACGACCUACCUCUGCCUUCAGAGAUCUUAUAAAACCUUGGACAAACUGAGGAUGGAGGAAGAGGGUUGCAGGCCAAGGAAUGUGGGCAGUCUCUGGAAGUUGAAAAAGGCAAGGAAAUGGAUUCUUCCCUAGAGCUCCCAGAGAAGAACUCAGUCCUGCCAACAUCUUGAUCUUAACCCAUGAGACCCGUGUUGAACUUCUAACCUACAGAGCUGUGCUGUCUAGCGGGACUACCGUAUUUCAAGGACAGAAUCUGCCAAUUUGAGAAAGUCUCCGUGCGUAUACGUCUUUCUCCUUUUGAAGUUUUUCUAAGAUAUUCUCAGUGUUUUCUAGAAGAAGGAGGCGUUCAGUGUUGUUCGAUGGGGGGUUUCUCACUUCUUCCAUCCCACGCGUUAGUCCCCAGACUGAAUGAAUACAUUUGCAAGAAACGGAAUCUUAACUAGGGUCAACUCCUAUAAAUGUCUGAAACUUGAGGUGCCCCCAGCAAACAUGACGUCUGGCAAAUAGUCCAUAAAACUCUGCUUUAAAAUAAUUAAAUGAAAUGGUCACCAGGGAGGGCAAGAAUGGCAUGGCCCAGGGGCGUCGACAGAGCAUAGACUCUAUUUUCUUUAGCCUGCUAAUCGGUAUGUUGGCCUCAGACCUCCUGUACCCUUCUGGUGGAGCCUCAAAUCCCCCAUCUCACUGGAUAACGGCCUUCGUUUUAUAAUCAAAACCUUUUUUGUUCAGAAGCUAGUCUUUAUCUCAAAAAGACUGAGCGAGUUCAACUUACAUUUAGAAGAAUUUUGCUCCGGAGGGAGGAUGGCUUGGCUUUCUAAUCAGAAGGCUCGGGUCAAGCGAAAGGUGGAUUGAUUUCUCUACCUGUGCUCUGAAGGAGCAUCAUGUAGCCCAGCUCCCCUCCCCCCCACCCCUUGGCCAGGUGGGAAGGGAGAGGAGGAGGGAGAGAGGGAAGAGAUGGCGUUUCUAGAUGUGGUGUGCAGGAAUCUCCUUGGAAAAACAUGCCUGGUUAUCCCAGGAUGGAACUGAGAAGUGAGUGUAACUCCUCAUGAAGACCGCCAUCUUCUCCUAAAUUGUUGAGUAGAAGGCUAACUACCAUUCUCUUGGGAUUGCUGGGUGGCAGCUCUGUGCUGGAGGCUAACACGCAUCGACAUAUUUAAUCUGCACAGAGGCUCCACGGGUAUGCAUUAUUAACCCCUCCACUUGACAUCUCAUUGGUUCCCCCGUGAGCUCUCCUACCCUGCUUUGGGGCCAGCAAGAUGACAGCCAGUUGAGGUUACUAUGGGAAGACACCACUCUGAUCCCCUGCUGUGGGGAGCAUAUUGAAUGAUGGCCCCUUUGUGGUUUCUCUGGAUCCUCCACCAAGUGUGAGCCACACUUCCUGUGAACUGCUCCCAGCCCAUGACUGAGUGGGGCUACCCAUGAAGGCACAGUCGGAGAGACCCGAGACCCUUCCAACAGGCAAUUUUCUUCUGCUUCGAGGAGUACCCAUCAGCCUGGCCAAACCUUUCUUGGAACUGCACUGCUGUCUGAGACUUUUUUUAAAAAAGAUUUUAUUUAUUUGUUUAUUUGAGAGAGAGUGUGGGCGGGGGGAGGGACAGAGGGAGAAGCAGACUCCCUGCUGAGUGGGGAGCCUGAUGCAGGAGUCGAUCCCAAGACCCUGAGAUCAUGACCUGAGCUGAAGGCAGAUGCUUAAUGGACUGAGCCACCCAGGCGCCCCUGAGACUCUUUCUACCCAACCCUCCUUCCUUUCUUCUCUCCUUCACAGGGAGUCAGAUUGGCACUGUAGUCUGGAGGCUCCCCCCACCUUUUUCCUUCCAGGCAUCCCCCCUGUCAAUAAAUCCCUCACAAAUCUGGUCCUGUCUUAGCGUCUUCCUCUCAGAUGAUCCAAAAUAAUGCACCAGUCAAUGUAGCAACAACCACCACCACGGGUAACAAUGGGCUUGGACUUGAUUUUUUUAUUAUUCUAGGUCUUAUGACAGCCUUGUCAGACUUGAG